GAUGAAGAACGUAGCGAAAUGCGAUAAGUAAUGCGAAUUGCAGAAUCCGUGAGUCAUCGAAUCUUUGAACGCACAUUGCGCCCUUUGGUAUUCCGAAGGGCAUGCCUGUUCGAGCGUCAUUAUCACCCCUCAAGCCCCGGCUUGGUGUUGGGCUCUCGGUGGUCGUCUCCGACCACCCGUCUCAAAGAUAGUGACGGCGUCCCAGAGGGAACCGGUACGAGGAGCUUUCACGAGCAUGUACGCGGGACGACUCUGCGGGCGACGGUCUUAUUUACUUUAUAUACAAGUGUUGACCUCGGAUUAGGUAGGAAUACCCGCUGAACUUAAGCAUAUCAAUAAGCGGAGGA
rnacentral:misc_RNA from 1 species